rnacentral:rRNA from 1 species
GUCGUCAGCUCGUGUCGUGAGAUGUUGGGCUAAGUCCCGCAACGAGCGCAACCCUUAUCAUUAGUGCUAACGCAAGGGCACUCUAAUGAGACUGCCGGUGACAAACCGGAGGAAGGUGGGGAUGACGUCAGGUCAUCAUGGCCCUUAUGGGUAGGGCUACACACGUCAUACAAUGGCCGGUACAGAGGGUUGCCAACUCGCGAGGGGGAGCUAAUCUCAGAAAACCGGUCGUAGUCCGGAUCGCAGUCUGCAACUCGACUGCGUGAAGUCGGAAUCGCUAGUAAUCGCGGAUCAGCUUGCCGCGGUGAAUACGUUCCCGGGUCUUGUACACACCGCCCGUCACACCAUGGGAGCGGGUUCUGCCAGAAGUAGUU